AGGAUAAACGCUGGCGGCGUGCCUAACACAUGCAAGUCGAACGCGCUUUCGGGCUUCGGUGCGAGAGCGAGUGGCGGACGGGUGAGUAACACAUGGGUACCUACCUUGGAGUGAGGGAUACCGGCGAGAAAUCGCCGACAAUACCGCAUAGGCUUCUUCACAAGGGAAGCAAAGUGAUGCGAGUCACGCUUUGAGAUGGGCCUGUGGCCGAUUAGCUAGUUGGGGGGGUAACGGCUUCCCAAGGCGACGAUCGGUAGCUGGUCUGAGAGGACGAUCAGCCACACUGGGAUUGAGAACGGCCCAGACUCCUACGGGGGGCAGCAGUGAGGAAUUUUCCGCAAUGGAGGCAACUCUGACGGAGCAACGCCGCGUGCAGGAGGAAGGUUUUCGGAUCGUAAACUGCUUUUCUCGGGGACGAGCAAGGACGGUACCCGAGGAAGAAGCCCCGGCUAACUACGCGCCAGCAGCCGC
rnacentral:rRNA from 1 species